ACACUAGCUGUCUGUGUCAAGGCCACGCAGAAAUCUAUUGGAAAUCGCUGUGGAAACAAACGCAAAUGAAAAGCCGCAAAGAGCAAAGGUGGGACAAAAUCAACUUCUUUCGUUGUCAUGGACACUGCACUUUUAAUCUAAAGGGCGCCAGCUCUGGCGUUAGACCUGGGUUUAAAUCCCAACUCUUGACAUUUAUGGUUAAGGGACCUUCAAGGACCAGGGACCUUCAAGAACCUUCCCUUCUUCAACCUUCCCUUCUCUUUCCUUGUCAUUUAUUCAGAGCACAAGCUUUACAAACAAAUUGGGAUUUUAAUCCAGUGUCUGCUAAUUAUUAGCUAUGUUACUUUGAGCAAGCCCUUAAAUCUCUAAAAGGAAGAUAUUAGGAACUACCGUGCCAUGUUAUGUCAUGAUCAAAGGCAUUAUGAAGUUAAAGCACUUAGCACAGGGUCUUAUAGAGAGGAAGUGCUCAGUAAAUGGUUGCUAAUCUUAUGAUUAUGUACAAAGAACUACUUGAGGCUUUUCAUGGGUGGUAAAGUUUAACCUUUAAAACAGUAUGUAAAAUUUUACAUUAAGCGCACGUGUGUAUUUUUCUGAGAAGAGGGUCCCUGGCUUUCAUCACCUUGUCAAAGGGAUUCAUGACCUCUAAAAAAGUAAAGAACUCUUUGCCUGGGCUGUAAAAGACAAUUCUAAAAGGGGCCUUUAAGUUUUUAAUCUUAGAUCAGGCUCCCUGGAAACACACCUCGAAGAGACUUGAGUGUUGGCUUAUGGGGAGCGCUCUUAGAAUGCACCUCCAGGAAGCUGAGAAAGGCGGGGUCAGGUGAUCCACAACGUGGUUGCUGUGAGGCAGCUGCAUUGCCCCAGAAGAGAGGAUUUGGAUAGGAUAUCCCAGUACCCACUCAACUUUCCUUCUAGUAUUUCUAAUCCAUCUAGCAAACCAAGAAAGCAGGCAAGUGACUGAGGGCAUGUAGUCUGUCUUGAACUGUGAGGCCUAUUGAUUCUAUCAAGCCUCACAUCACUGCCAUCUUUGUCACAACACCAGAUGGAAGGCUCUGGUUAUAUCCUUCCCUCUGCUCACUCUCAAAUAGCUGCUUCUCCCCCGACCUUGUCAUCAGCUACUUCCCUCCUUUCCAGUCCUUUGAUUUUUGUCCUCUGAAAUCCUUUUCGUCUCUGUGCCAGGCAUUGAGAUGGAAGCUUGCAUAGAGAGACAAAUGUGGUUUUUGAAUAAAUGCACUAAUGAAUGUAUUUACUUGCAAUAUGUUCUCUAUAUUUUAAGAGAGACUUUGCAGAGCAGAAGAGAACAGGAGAUGGGAGCCCUUGGCACACUAUGCUGUUGUUUACGUCUCUGUCCGUGCCUUCCCCCACCCAAGUAGAUAAGAAUAGUGGUCUCAUUGUUGUAGUUUUCCCUUAAGGUACUUAACCCAGUUCCAUAAUACUAUUUUUCCCUCUCUUUAAAUUUGUAUUUGCAUUUUUUCUUGAUCAGUCUUGAGAGAGAUAUGGCAAUCUUAUUAAAAACUUCAAAGACAGCCAGGUACAGUGGCCCAUGCCUGUUAAUCCUAGCACUUCGGGAGGCUGAUACAGAAAGAUCACUGAGACCUGUAGUUAAAGAUCAGCCUGGGCAACAUAGCGAGACGCCCAUCUCUACAAAUUUUUUUUUUUUAAUUAGCCAGGUGUUGUAGCACACACCUUUAGUCCCACCUACUCAGGAGGCUGAGGCUGGAGGAUCACUUGAGCCUAGAAGUUUGAGGCUGCAGUGAACCAUGAUUGUGCCACCAUACUCCAGCCUGGGCAACAGAAUGAGAUCCUAUCUCAAUAAUAAUAAUAAUAAUAAUAAAUGUAUGAAACUUUGGUAUAUGACAAAGGUAAUAUAUCAGAUUGGUGGGGAAAGAUUGGUGACUAUUCAGUAAAUGAAGUUGGGAAAAAUGGUUAUACAUAUGGAAAGAAAAAAUUGUAUCCUUAAGUCACUCUACACUGAAAAAAAAAACCUUAAAUGAGUCAAUAAUAAGGCUUUAAUUUAUUAGGAAAUAUAGGUGACUAUCUUAUAGACGUUGGAGUAGAAGAGGAUUUUUUAAACAAGGCACAAAAAGCACAAACUCAGAAAAGACCAAUAAAUCUGACCACAUUACAAUUAAUAGCUUUUAUCAAAAAACCCUUAAAUAAAAAAAUGUUAAACCUCAAAGUUUCCCAGUCCAAGCCAAAAAAAGUAUGAUAGGUUCACCUUAUUUUAAUUUCACAAAAAUUUGUAAAAUAUUUAUUAAGUGCACACAGAAAUUAAUGAACAGAGAACAAAGACAGAUUAAAAAAACAAAUGAGAUUCUUUAGGCCGGGUGUGGUGGCUCAUCCCUGUAAUCCCAGCACUUUGGGAGGCCAAGGCAGGUGGAUCGCUUGAUGCCAGGAGUUCAAGACCAGCCUGGCCAACAUGGCGAAACCCCGUCUCUACUAAAAAUACAAAAAUUAUCUGGGCGUGGUGACAGGUGCCUGUAAUCCCAGAUACUCAGGAGGCUGAGGCACGAGAAUCACUUGUGCCUGGGAGGUGGAGGUUGCAGGGAGCCAAGAUUGCACCACUGCACUUCCACUGAAGUUGCCAGCCUGAGCAACAUAGAGAGAUCCUGUCUCUAAAAAAAAAAUUUUAAGGGGUUUUGUACAUGUGAUUAUGAUUACUAAUCAGUAGACUACAAAGGAAGCCAAAAUUAGAAGUGGAAUGAAGGAAUGUGUUGCAAGACACCAACAGCUUUUGUUAUGCUAAAAAUAGAACUCGUUAUUGGCAGUUGUUUUUUCUUGAUUUUCUUGCUUUCAGUACUUUAUGCCACUAAGCAUAAAAUAAUCAUUUUAGUAUGCUCAUGGAUUCUAUGGAUCAGGAAUUUCUACAUGGUAUAAUGAGAAUAGUUUGCCUUUACUAUGUAAUGAUUGGAGCCUCAACUGGGGGGUAACUUGAACAGCUAAGGUGUGCAUGGGUUCUCUAGAGAAACAGAACUGAUAGGGUAUACAUUUAUUUGUUUAUUUAUUAUAGGAAUUGGCUCAUGUGAUUAAGGCAGAGAGGCCCUGCAAUCUGCCAUCUGCAAGCUGGAAAACCAGGACAGCUGGUCGUAUAAGCCCUAGUCUGAGUCCAGAGUCCCAAGAACCAGGAGUGCUGAUAUUCAAGAACAGAGACCAUGAAUGUCCCAGCUUAAGCAGAGAGAAAAUUCACUCUCCUCCGCAUGUUUUUCUAUUCAGACCCUCAACAAAUUGGAUGAUACUCACCUACAUUGUGAAGGCAAUCUUCGUUACUUAGUGUACUGAUUCCAAUGCUAAUCUUUUCUGAAGCCACCUUCACAGACCCACAGAAAUAAUGUUACCAGCUAUCUGGGCAUCUCUUAGCCCAGUCAAGUUGACACAUGAAAUUAAUCAUCAGGCUGGGCGUGGUGGCUCACACCUGUAAUCCCAGUGCUUUGGGAGGCCAGGGUGGACAGAUUGCUUGAGUUCAGCCUGGGCAACAUGGCAAAACCCCAUCUCUACCAAAAAUACAAAAAAGUUAGCCAGGUGUGGUGGUGCAUACCUGUGGUCUCAGCUACUCAGGAGGCUGAGGUGGGAGGAUUACUUGAGCCUGGGAGGCAGAGGUUGCAGUAAGCUGAGAUGGCACCACUGCACUCCAACCUGAGUGACAGAGUGAGACCCCAUCUGAAAAAAAAAAAAAAGAAAUUAAUCAUCAUGGGGUGGGGGUAGAAGGUAGAAUUAUCUGAACACUUUUUAGUUUAAUGCCUGGACUGGGCUGCUUCAAAGGCUGGGCUCUCAUAUGGAACUGUCAACCAGAGCAACUACAUAUAGCCUUUCUAUAAGGCUUAGAAUUCUCACAAAUGGCAAUUUGGUUCUGGGAGGUAGGUUCUCAAGAGAAAGCAUCUAGGAAAAAAGCAUUGUAAGAGAAACAACAGAAGAUGCAUGGCCUUGGAAGUCACAUAGCAUCACUUCAAUCAUACUCUAUUGGUUAAGGGUGUCAGAAACCUAAAAAGAUUCAAAGGCAGUAGACAUAUAUCCUCAUUCUUUUUUUUUUUUUUUUUUUUUUUGAGACAGAGUCUUGCUCUGUUGCCCAGGCUGGUGUGCAGUGGUGCAAUCUCGGCUCACUGCAAGCUCUGCCUCCUGGGUUCAUACCAUUCUCCUGACUAAGCCUCCUGAGUAGCUGGGACUACAGGUGCACACCACCAUGCCUGGCUUUUCUUUUUUUUUUUUUUUUUUUUUUUUUUUUAGUACAGACGGGGUUUCACCAUGUUAGCCAGGAUGGUCUCGAUCUCCUGAUCUCGUGAUCCACCUGCCUCGGCCUCCCAAAGUGCUGGGAUUACAGGCGUGAGCCACUGUGCCCAGCCUAUAUAUCCUCAUUCUUGAUGGAAAGAUUAUCAGUGAUUUUAGGAUUAUAUGUUAAAACCACCAUAGUUUCUUUCCCGCUCUUUAAUAUUUAAACCUUUUUGUUCUUAACAUGCUUCUGACCUGUCUCCCAGUCCAGCAAUGUCUAAUGUGCUGUUAAACCCAUCCCUCGAGUUUGUAAUUUCAGUUAUUACAUUUUUCUAUUCUAAACUUUCAAUUUGUUUUUCUGUUUAUGUUUCCCAUUCUAGGCUGAAAUUUUCAGUCUUGACUUUUUUCUUUGAAUGCUUAAACACACUUAGCAUAAUUAUUUCAAUGUUUCAUUAUCUGGGUUUUCUUAGGAUCUGUUUGUACGGUCUGAUGUUUCUCUUGGUUUUAUGAAAAAUUGAUUUUAGGUCCUAGAUAUCUACUCAUUUUCUAAGACCACUUUGUUUUAAUUCAAGAUGCUUUGUAUAAUAAAUGAUAUAAUAUCUAGUAAGACUGACCCCUCCCAAUGUUGUUCUACUUUUUCAGGGUUUUCUUGACAAUUCUUACUGAUUAUUACAUACAAAUUUUUAGCAUCAACUUGUUUAACUCCAAACAAAAGUUGACAUUUUUAUGUGUCAAGUUUGUGUAUUAGCUUAGGGAUACUUGACAUCUUUAUGAUCCUGAGUCAUCUUAUCUAAGAACAUGGAAUAUCUGUUUGCUGUGUCCUUAAAGUUUUAUCCCUAAAAGCUCUGUACAUUUCUUAUUAAGUUUAUCUCUAGGUAUUUUAUCUGUUUUGCUGUUAACAUAAGUGGUAUACUCUUACCCACUACUCCAUUUAAUUGUUUUCUUUUAAAUUGAAGGCUAUGGAUUUUUGUUUAUUCAUGUAUGCCCUGCUACCUUACUGAAUUAUCUUAUGAUUGGUAUUAACUUUUUAUUGAUUUUAUUUUUUUCAGAUAUUACCUCCUCCUUUCUAAUUCUUAUGCCUAUUAUUCAAUCCCAUUGGCUUAUAUCUCAAAUGCAAUACUAAAUAUAAAUAGUAGAUAGAUUAAUGGCAUUUUUGUCUAAUUCCUGAAUGCAGGAAAACAUCCAUGUUUCUCCACUAUGUCAUAUGUUAAGAAAAUAGCCACUGAUUACUAUUUAUUUAUUUUUUUUACCAUGUCAGGAAGGGAUAUUAAUUUAUGAAUUGCCUUCUUACUAUCUAUUAAGAUGAGAGUUUAAAUUUUCUCUUUAGAUCAACUAAUGUAGUGAAUCAUAUUGGAGGAGGGUGAUGGGGCGCCUUUUCUAAUUUGCGUAAGACAUCAUGGUUUUCAUGUCUCACUGGCUGUUCUUCUGCCUGGAAUGCUGUUCCCCACGUAUCUGCAUGGCUUGCUCCCAUUUCCUUUAUGCCUUUGCUCAAGGUCACUUUUGAAAUGAGGCCCAUCCUAAUCAUCUCAUUUAAAUUGCACUUUUUGCUGUCCUCCAUUGGCAUUUUUAGUUCCUCCCACCAGGUUCUUUUUUUCCUCACACUUAUCACUUUCUAACAUACUAUAUAUUUAUUUAUUGUGCUUAUUGUGUGUCGUCUGUCUCCACUACAAGUGUACUCUGUCUCCACUACAAGUAUACUCCAUGAGGCUAGGAAGUUUGGUCCUUUUUUUCUUUUUUCCUUUUUUUGACUUACAUGUUUCCAAUACCUAGAGCAGUGCUUGGCAAACAGUAAGCAUUCAAAAAUAUUUUUUAAAUGAAUGAAUAAGUAGAGAUUAGCGCCUACCAAGGAAUUAUUCAAGAAGAAUAUCAAAUAAUAAAAUUUAGUAUUCUAGCGAAGGUUAGACUUAACAGCUAUGGAGAUAAAGUAAAGAGAUUAAAAGCAUUUUCAUUGUAGAACUUUUACACGUUUUUCCAUUAUUGGGCCUCAUAGCCUAUAUUGCACCAUGAAUCAAUGCCUUUUAUUAAUCUCGUGAUUAUUUGUGAAUGGCCCAAUUAUAGUCAUAUGUUGCUUAAUGACAGAUACAUUCUGAGAAAUAUGUUAGGUGAUUUCGUCUUUGUGUGAACAUCAUAGAGUGUACUUACACAAACCUAGAUGGUAGAGUCUACUGCACACCUAGGCUUUAUAGUAUAGCCUUCUGCUUCUAGUCUACAAACCUGUACAGUAUGUUACUGCAGUGAAUAGUGUAGGCAAUUGUAACACAAUGGUAAGUAUUUGUGUAUCUAAACAUAUCUAAACAUAGAAAAGGUAGAAGAAAAAUAUGAUAUAAAAGAUAAUGGUACACCUGUAUAGGGCACUGACUAUAAAGGGAGCUUGCAGGACUGGAAGUUGCUCUGGGUGAGUCAGUGAGUGAGUGGUGAGUGAAUGGGAAGGCCUAGGACAUUACUAUACACUAUGGUAGACUUUAUAAACACUAUACACUUUGUAUACACUAUAUAUAUAUUUAUAUAUAAAAAGAUAAAUAUAUAUACUCUAUA
rnacentral:lncRNA from 10 species